GUUUGGUAGACAAUUGCUUGGGUUACAGCUUCUGACUGGAAUUGGAGCAAGAACACAUACCUACUUCUCAAAAUGAGUUUUCUCCUUAUGUUGAAGGUCUCUGUUCCCUUCAAGUUAAUAAAACGAAGUCAAAUGCCACAUAAGUUUAUAAAGUACUUUUUAAAUUUGCAUUCCAGAUGUUAUGUUGGGGGAGGAGGGAAGUUACCUCAAGUCAUUGGGCCAAGUUGUGUAUUUCUUAUUCCUUAUUUUAAGUAGUGAAGUCAGAGGGAGGAUUGCCUGAGUGAGAGUAGUGGGUUUUUUGCUUGUGAUGAGGAUCUGGCUUGUAAAUGAAUCACAAGGAGUACCUCUUCUGGAAAUCUGGCUUUUUCAGUAGUUACAUCUCUAAUGGUUACUGUAUCUUUCUUUUGUGGUGGUAAAUAAAACCACACAAAUACAAAACAAGUACUUUCAUUUCAGCAAAUUAUAAAAAAGGAGGUUCUAUUACAAGCUAAAUUUGACUCGAAUGGAAUUUUCAUUUAAUGCACAUUUCAACUGUUAGGAGUCCCAAAGAGGUAAAAUGCCAAAAUAUUUGUUUAUGGGGGGAGGGGGAAGAUAAUCUGUUACAAAACUAACAAGGAUCAGAAAUAGCAUUAAAGCUGUUUACCUGAAGAACCAUAAAUCUGUAUUUUUUUGGGAUAUGCUUCCACCAAAAUACUAUUUAUCCUAAUGCUUGGAUAUGAAAAAUCAUUCAUAUUUUGUGCAGUUGAAAAUAAAAUUCUGUUGGUUUUUUUUUUUUUUAUAUUUGCAAAAUUUGCGAGCUGCUUUGACUUCUAUGCAACUUGUGGGUACUCAAAUUUAGUUAAAGUUGCAAAAGCAUUUUAUUAAAACAUUUCAGAAGAUAUUUAUUAAAAUUUUAGUGCAUCAGAGAUAUACAUUGAACUUGGAGAAAACUACAUCAAAACUAUUAAACUCUACUCCAUAAAGAUUCUGUAAUAAAAUUAAAGGACUUAGUAUAUUCUGUGACAAAUACUAAGGAAAAAUGUGAUGGAAACAAAUUUGCAAACUUCCAAAAUUUUACUUGCGUGUGUCUUGAUCUUUCUUUCUGUCUGCAUAACAUCCAAAAAACCUAACGUAAAAAUAACUAUCUUGAAAAUGAGUUUCACCUCACACAGAUGUUUUAAAUUCAGUUUGUGCAAGUGUCCUGCUGACAUUGGUGGAGAAGUCACGAAAUGGGAUUAAGAAUUAUUUGAUCACUCAUUUAUAGCAGUUGUUUAAAUGUCUGUAUUGAUAAGAAGGUGUUUGACUUAAAAAAACAAAAAAAACCCCCAAAAAAACAAAAAACAAAAACGAAAAAACAAAAAAGCGUCAGAUUUCUAGUUAUUCCAAAACUUCUUGAGCAAGAUUUCUAAAGCUGUCAUGUUCCAUAGGCUUAGUUUCUUCUCAACAAGGUCAAUUUAAUUCUCAAAUUUAAUUUGCCAAAUCAUUAGAGCUAAAUGUCUAAUUUUUCCAGUUAAUAUAUCUGUUAAACAACAGUCUGUGUCUUAAUAUUGUAUAAAGGAUGAUCUCAAUCUUUAGGUAGCUGAACUGUCUUUAAAAAUUUUCAAAUUUUCAGAGAACUAAAAGAUCUAUAUAAAUGUGAUUCUUGAUGGUUCUUUUUCAACUAGUUAGAUUUUGUCUUCUGUAUUAGCAUAUUAAGCCCAUUUGUUGAAUUUUUUUGUUUGUUUCAGAAAAUACAAAUCUUACUAGCAGCAAAACCAAUGCAAAUAUUGGGUGGGACUAUUGUAUUUUUUUUAUAAGUGUACAGAAUUACUUGGCACCAAAUCAUGUAGUUGUAGUACAAGCAAAAUUUAUUUCAACACAAAUUGCUUGGCUAAGCACUACAAGAUUGGGUUCCUGAUCUUAUAUGAUGGACCAAAUCUUGCAAAUCUUGUGAAUGAAGCUUACUCACCUGUUGAUUUAAGUGAGACUUUUGUGUAAAAAUUAUUAGCAUGAUUUAGGUUUGCAAGAUUGGGUUCUGUGUCAUUUGUGAAUUGUUUGUGAGUAGCCAUGAGCCUUCUAGAGGGAGAGUCCCAGGUUGUAUGUUCCUGCUUUGCUAAAAUGAGCUUCUGUUAACUUAGGACUCAUUUGAAGCUGCUUUGUGUGUGAUGAAUUGGCUCUCGUAAUUUGUAUUAUACAGUAAAGAAUGGCAACUUUAAGUAUAUUAAUUUACUGACUAAAAUCUGUGGAGUAGAAAAAAGUCUUUUAAGGGAAAAUGUGAAAUCUGUAAUCUUUUCCCUAAACACUCAACAGCUGAGAUGCAUCUUUCAAAUGCUUAAUAUUUGCCAGGAACUUCUGAAACUUUAAAGUAGCAGAAUUCCUCUGGACAAAUGUUUUAACAUCUUGUUUGGAGGUUACCAGAAGCUCUGAGUAUCAGUUCAGAAUAUGUUGCAUCAUAUUUUCUGAUGUUGUCCAGAAACCUGCAAGUGUGUUCCUUUUUUUUAACUCCUUCCUUUUACCUGACUAUCAGGGAAGCGUGGUUGAGGCUGCCCUGACCUGACAUGUCAUGAUGUCGACUUGCUAGGUGGGGUUCGCAGGGAUCAUUUACCUUGGAGUUGUCGUGUCUGCAACAAAUGAGGACGGAAUGUGACAAAUGACCCUGAUUCAUUUCCACGGCAUCAACUAGCCUAUAUGCUGAAUGAGGCAGAAGUUUCGUGGUAAAAAUAUUACAUGAUCAUGUAAUUAAAAGACCGUCUCAUAAUACGUAUCUGCCCAACACUGAAUUUAAGUUGUGGUUAGCAAACAUGUUUUGACAUUUCCUAGCUUGAGUGCUUGAUUCUUCAGGCUUAAGUUUUGGAUGCAUUUUCCCAACUUUUUAAAUAAAAAAAUCAGUCAAAUUCUAUCAUGCUUUAUCUUGUUGAUUCUCCAUUUCAGUGGUUAGCAGGGUUUAAAAAGCUGGUCCACAGUCAGCACUUCUGCUGGAUCAAGCAGUAGGGUACCAAAGAGGAGUCUUAUCUCAUUCACAGAGGUUAGUUAAGCUUGUGGGUUUUGUAGCUAUUUUCUGAGAGUAAAACAUAGAGACUCUGAAAUCCAGUUUUGGCUUCCUGGUUCAGAAGGGAAGUAUGCUCUAGUAGUUAGGAUUAACUUAAUCCACUUCAUUCCAGUCAGGCUCCUGCCUUUUCUAAUAUAUUGCUUGGAUUAUUAGUGUGGCUGACACAGAUCACAAGAGAGAUGGUAUUCCUUUGUUUAUUUCUAUUCCCAGACCUAUAGCAACUGGGAGGAGGACCAGUUGUAGGGACCACUCCGCUUGUAUCUGCUGCUCUCAAGUUAGAAUAUUUUCUCAGUGGAAAUUAUCUUGGCAUAAUUAAUUUGCCAAACUUCCAGGAAAACUCUGUUGAGACAUGGUAGUGCUUAUGCCAAAACAUGAAGAUAGUUCAGUUGAGCAGUUACAAAGAAUUAAUACUAGUGAGAGAUUUUUUUUGUCCUGGUCAUUCUCAGAAUGGUUGAAUUGUGUUUAGCUCAAAAAACAUCCCCCAAAAAUGCAGUUGAGAUAGAUGGUCAGCAUAGAAAACUUUACCCCAAACAGUUUAGCAUCAUUUAAAAGCAAGUAAAAACGAGCUUUUAAAAUAAAGUACCAGGUAAUUUUAACUAUAGGCAGUUCUACACUUUAUCUGUAAUUAUUGGAUAGAGUCCUUGUAUUUAACCAUUUAAACCUUUUUAUUUCUUUCAAGAUUUUAAGUUUUUUCUAUUAGGAGACAGUUACAUGUCAUUGGCUUCAAUGUAACCUCAGUGCACUCCAUUCAAAUGUUGCUCUCCCCUCUAUCUUGACAGCUACAUGAGACAGCAUGAGUCCGUUAGAUGUCUUUUUUCAUUUAUCCUUUCCUUUGUAGCUGAUUGUAUUAACAUCAGUAGUUUGACACUUGUGCCAGUCACAUCAGCAAGCUAGAGGCUAAAUUAUAUGAAGCUGCACACUUUUACCUAUGCUAUAGGAAAUGACUGAUCUCAAGUAUUCAAAUUGCUUGUAAUAUGAAGAGCAAUGGGUAGAUAAUUUUCCUGUAAGUCCUAUUUACUGCAGGGUUCUGGACAGGAGAAACAAAAAAGGAAGAGAGAUCAGCUUCUCCUGCAAGAGGAAAAUUUUAAGACCAUAGUCUUAGGAACCCAUUCCUCAGGCUGAGGCUUUUUUUCCCCCUUAAGUUCAGAGAGUCUUUAUUUCCCCCUCUCCCCCACUUUAACUCGAGGCAAGCAAUCUUUGCAGCAGUUUUUACACACGUGUCUUUCAGGAUUUCUGACUGCCCUCUUUCUCUGAAGGAUAUCACAGUAGAAAUUAAAUUUCUUUCUGCUCAAAAGGUUGGGAAUACUGUUGUAAAGCAUGUCCAUACACAAACUUGUACAAGUACAAAUUAAAGGAACAUGUGUUAAGAUUUCUUAAAUCAAUGCAAAACCCUGUAUGUAUAGUUUUACAUGCUUACAUCAAGUGAAUUUGAUUUGAUAAAUCACUUUAAGGCCUUCCAUGCAAGGUGUGCACCAGGUAAUUUUUUUAUACAAAUUAUCAUUAAAGCAUCUUACUAUAUAGGAAACAAGCUAUAAUGUCUCCAAGAUGUGAAACUCCAAAUUAAUAAAGAACCAUAUAUGGAUUGUUCUUGAAAACCAAUUCUGUAGUAACACUUCUGGUGGUAAAUUGACCAUUCAUUCCUUUGAUGGGCACAAAACAUCGCUUCAUGAUCAUUUUGACAAGAAAGUUGGUGGGGUUUUCAGAAGAGGCUGAAGACCAGAGGCACAUGGAUAAUGCACAUUUAACACCAUCAGCUGAAGUGCAAUCAGUCUUUGAUAAAGGCAUGGAAACAUCUUAUUUUCUUUACUCUUCACCCAGAAAAAUUGACACACGGACUGAGUUGUCAGAUAUUAUUCUCUGAUCUAUUUCCUGUUCCACAAAGAAACCUGCGUUUUCCAACUUGAGCCUCUAACCACCAGACUUGCUCAGACUUUGUCCUCCAUGGGUAUUUCUUCUCUGCAAAGGCUACAUUGGCUUGCAUUGGAAAGAUGCAGGAAAUGAGCUUAGCACUGUGCGAAGUGGACACCAAAAUACUUAAGUUUCAUGACUCGAUGUAAACCGUACAUUGCAUUGGCGAUUGAUUUUAGUAUCUAGGAGAUUUACAUCUUUCUCAUAUUUGAUAAGCACACUUAUGAGCUUCCAGUGAGAAUUAGUUUUUAGGAGAGGUAAUGAAAGGUGGUGGUAGUUUUAGUGGACUGAGAUGUAGAGGUACAUUCCACAGAAAGAGAGAUUCUUUGGAGAAAUUCAGUAAUACUGUACCUGAAG